rnacentral:rRNA from 1 species
GUCGAGAAUCUUUCACAAUGGGGGCAACCCUGAUGGAGCGACGCCGCGUGGAGGAUAAGGUCUUCGGAUUGUAAACUCCUGUCAUGCGUGAACAAGGUUGCUUGGUUAAUACCUGGGCAAAUUGAUGGUAACGCAAGAGGAAGAGACGGCUAACUCUGUGCCAGCAGCCGCGGUAAUACAGAGGUCUCAAGCGUUGUUCGGAAUCACUGGGCGUAAAGGGUGCGUAGGUGGCGUGGUAAGUCAGAUGUGAAAGCCCGGGGCUCAACCUCGGAACUGCAUCCGAUACGGCCAUGCUAGAGUACUGGGGAGGUGACUAGAAUUCUCGGUGUAGCAGUGAAAUGCGUAGAUAUCGAGAGGAAUACCAAAGGCGUAGGCAGGUCACUGGACAGUUACUGACACUGAGGUGCGAAAGCGUGGGGAGCAAACAGGAUUAGAUACCCUAGUAGUCC